ACACUACUACUACACAGAGACCAAGAUAGAACAGGAGAAGGUGAGGACACUACUACUACACAGAGACCAAGAUAGAACAGGAGAAGGUGAGGACACUACUACACAGAGACCAAGAUAGAACAGGAGAAGGUGAGGACACUACUACACACAGAGACCAAGAUAGAACAGGAGAAGGUGAGGACACUACUACUACACAGAGACCAAGAUAGAACAGGAGAAGGUGAGGACACUACUACUACACAGAGACCAAGAUAGAACAGGAGAAGGUGAGGACACUACUACUACACAGAGACCAAGAUAGAACAGGAGAAGGUGAGGACACUACUACUACUACACAGAGACCAAGAUAGAACAGGAGAAGGUGAGGACACUACUACACACAGAACAGGAGAAGGUGAGGACACUACUACUACUACACAGAGACCAAGAUAGAACAGGAGAAGGUGAGGACACUACUACUACUACACAGAGACCAAGAUAGAACAGGAGAAGGUGAGGACACUACUACUACACAGAGACCAAGAUAGAACAGGAGAAGGUGAGGACACUACUACUACACAGAGACCAAGAUAGAACAGGAGAAGGUGAGGACACUACUACUACACAGAGACCAAGAUAGAACAGGAGAAGGUGAGGACACUACUAUACAGAGACCAAGAUAGAACAGGAGAAGGUGAGGACACUACUAUACAGAGACCAAGAUAGAACAGGAGAAGGUGAGGACACUACUACACAGAGACCAAGAUAGAACAGGAGAAGGUGAGGACACUACUACACAGAGACCAAGAUAGAACAGGAGAAGGUGAGGACACUACUAUACACAGAGACCAAGAUAGAACAGGAGAAGGUGAGGACACUACUACACAGAGACCAA